GGCUGCGGCCCGCGCCGUGCCCACCUUGUCGCUGCGCCCCAGCAAGCUUUCAAGGCCUCCCAUGCCCACGCCGGCACGCCAUUCUCCACACUGGACCUUCCACUGAGCCAUGCUCCUCCUCACAAGGCUGGCCAAACCCGGGUGCUGCUCUCCGACGACCUCCCCGCGUGUCGCCCAUGCUGCUCUCGGCUGGAACCGAUUCUUCCACACCGGCGACGCACACAAUGUGUUCGGUGCGAUGCCUGCACCGGACCACAGGCAGUGCAGUGAACUUCUCAGGACGCGCACCGCGAGCGGGGAUCACUACGGGUCCGUCUGCCUCGUCCGCGGGAUGCUCGGGCGGGGCCUCCGGCCCGACAGGCUCGCGCUCGCCGCGGCGAUCAAGUCGGCGUCGGCGCUCCCCGAUGGCGGCGCCCUGGGGAGGUGCCUCCACGGGUUUGUUGUCAGGCUCGGGAACGCCGCGGGCGUGGCGGUGGCGAAGGCGAUCAUGGACAUGUACGGGAGGCGUGGGGCUCUCACGGACGCCCGCCUAGUGUUUGAUGAAAUGGGCUGCCCUGACGCGGUAUGUUGGAACAUCCUGAUCACUGGGGCCUCCCGGGCUGGGUAUUUUGACGACGUAUUUGCCUUGUUCUGGUCGAUGCUUGCGUGUGGUGUAGAUGAGAGCAUGCCGACUGCGGUGACGGUGGCUGUCGUCAUUCCGGUAUGUGCAAAGUUGAGAGAUUUAACGGCUGGGAGGAGUGUCCAUGGCUAUGUCGUCAAGACUGGGUUGGAAUCUGAUACUUUGUGUGGGAAUGCAUUGGUAUCCAUGUAUGCAAAAUGUGGUGCAGGUGGAAUCACGGAUGAUGUGCAUAGAGCCUUUUCUUCAAUUCAUUGCAAGGAUGUUGUUUCAUGGAAUUCGAUCAUCGCAGGAUACUCCGAGAAUGGGUUGUUCGAAGAAGCACUCGUACUAUUUGGUCAGAUGAUCUCAGAGAAAUGUCUUCCGAAUUAUUCAACGGUAGCUAAUAUUCUUCCUGUAUGCUCGUUCAUGGAGUAUGGGAGUAACUAUGGCAAAGAAGUGCAUGGUUUCGUGUUCCGGUUUGGCUUAUAUAUGGACAUAUCUGUUUGUAAUGCGCUGAUAACUCAUUAUUCCAAGGUGUGUGAAAUGAGGGUUGUGGAAUCAAUAUUCAGAAGUAUGAAUUCAAGAGAUAUUGUUACAUGGAACACAAUAAUUGCUGGAUAUGUGAUGAACGGGUGCAACUCUAGGGUGUUAGGCCUGUUCCGUAGGCUUCUGUCUACAGGAAUGACCCCUGAUUCUGUUUCUUUCAUUAGUCUGCUCACUGCUUGUGCUCAAGUAGGUGAUGUCAAAGGAGGGAUGGCAGUUCAUGGUUAUAUUUAUCGGCAUCCAGUACUUUGUCAGGAAACAUCCUUAAUGAAUGCUCUUAUUAGUUUCUAUAACCAGUGUGACAGAUUUGAUGAUGCUCUUCAUUCUUUCGCUGAUAUUUUGGACAAGGAUUCAGUAUCAUGGAAUGCAAUUCUAUCGGGCUGUGCUAACAGAAAAGAACAUAUUGAGGAGUUCGCCAAACUCUUCUGUGAAAUGUGCCGCAAGGUAACUCGUUGUGACUCAGUCACAAUCUUGAAUUUUAUCCGCAUGAGUACCUUCUGUGGUGCUAAGAGGGUCCGGGAAGCUCAUGGAUAUACCUUGCGAGUUGGUUAUAUUGGGGAAAUAUCAGUUGCAAAUGCUAUUCUCGAUGCAUAUGCAAAGUGUGGUCAGCCGCAGGAUGCAGAUACACUUUUCAGAAACCUAGCCGGCCGGAACAUUGUAACAGGCAAUACUAUGAUUUCUUGCUACCUGAAAAAUAACAAUGUAGAGCAAGCUGAGAGAAUCUUCAACCAAAUGCCUGAGAAAGAUAGGACAACAUGGAAUCUCAUGAUCCAGUUGUAUGCACGCAAUAAUAUGUCUGAUCAAGCUUUCUGCCUGUUUCAUCAGUUGCAGUGUCCCGAUACUGUUGGCAUUACAAAUAUUCUCCUGGCUUGCAUCCAUUUGAGUUCGGUACAACUUGUGAAACAAUGCCAUGGCUACAUGCUCAGAGCAUCCCUAGAAGACAUCCAUCUUGAAGGAGCUCUUCUUGAUGCAUAUUCAAAGUGCGGGAAUAUAACCAAUGCAUACAACCUAUUUCGACUCGGCCCUAACAAAGACCUUGUCAUAUUCACUGCCAUGAUAGGAGGCUAUGCAAUGCAUGGAAUGGCAGAAGAGGCAGUGGAGCUGUUUUAUGAAAUGCUUACACUUGACAUUAAGCCAGACCAUGUAGCUCUAACUGCUCUGCUGUCAGCCUGCAGUCAUGCUGGGCUUGUUGAUGCAGGAAUCAAGGUUUUCAAGUGCGCCAGAGAUAUUUACAGAGUUGAACCGACAGCAGAGCACUACACAUGCAUGGUUGACCUUCUUGCCCGCAGCGGGCGUCUCCAAGACGCAUACAGUUUUGCGUUGGAUAUGCCCCCUCACAUGGCCAAUGCAAAUGUAUGGAGCUCUCUGCUAGGAGCAUGCAAGGUCCAUGGAGAGGUCAGAAUCGGCCAACUCGCAGCUGAUCACUUGUUCUCCAUGGAGGCCGGGGACAUAGGGAACUAUGUCAUUGUGUCAAACAUCUAUGCAGCUGAUGAGAAAUGGGACGGUGUGGAGCAUGUCAGGAAAUUGAUGAAGUCCAAGGAUAUGAAGAAACCUGCAGGAUGCAGCCAGGCACUUGUUUAUAGCCAGUGAUGUUAAGAACCAAAAUAGUUCUUUUAUCUACGACAUGGUUGGAAGUUUGUAUCAGCAAAUCAAAGAUACACAAGCUGGCAAAGAACAUUCAGUUACAAGUUUCAACGUUAGUGCAAUUGAUCUGGUCACAGGGUUACAGAAACUUGAAUUGGAGUUUUUCUUCUCAAACUUGUCUUUGCUAGCUCUUCCCAUCCAUGGUAUUUAUCUUUCUGAGAGUUGAGACAAAUAAGUAACAUGGCUCCGCGCCACAGCAUGCAUCUUGGAGUUGAAGCAAGCAGCAAAAUAUAUCAUGUGCCAUCUACAUUGGAACUCUCUUCGGCUUUCUACCAAGUACCAACCAAGGUUCACUACUCUUGAAGUCUUGGUGACAGUUGCCGAUCCACUGGCAUUAGGAAUUUCAGCAAUGUUAUCUUUUGGGGGAAAUCUGAUUGGAGGUCUGUUAACAGCGCCAGCGAGGCCGAUGAAACACCACAAGUAGCAGGAGUGAGGGUGAGAGCUCUCGUUCGGCUCGCUUGGUGUUGAUCGAAGAUAUCUUGGGUGGAAAUUGGUGGAUUUCUCGAUUGGUUGAAGGAAGUAAAACAAAGGGGACCCACUACCCAGCGUCCUUUCGGCGAGUGUUGGGGUCUUAUCUAUUUAAGCUAAAAUAAGGCCAUUCAAGAAGGCUGUCAACUGUAAACAUG